GCUGUAGCUCAGUGGUAGAGCACUGUGUUUUGCAUGCAAAAAGGUCCCAGGUUUAGGUAAAGGUCUAAACCACUGAGCCUCUUGGGCUUGCCGAUCAGAAGGUCGGUGGUUCGAAUCCUCACGACGGGGUGAGCU